CCUACGGGUGGCAGCAGUAGGGAAUCUUCCACAAUGGACGCAAGUCUGACGGAGCAACGCCGCGUGAGUGAAGAAGGGUUUCGGCUCGUAAAGCUCUGUUGGUAGUGAAGAAAGAUAGCUGUAGUAACUGGUCUCUCCUUGACGGUAUUUACCCAGAAAGUCACGGCUAACUACGUGCCAGCAGCCGCGGUAAUACGUAGGUGGCAAGCGUUGUCCGGAUUUAUUGGGCGUAAAGCGAGUGCAGGCGGUUCCAUAAGUCUGAUGUGAAAGCCGUCGGCUCAACCGGGGAGGGGAAUUGGAAACUGGUGAACUUGAGUGCAGAAGAGGAGAGUGGAAGUCCAUGGGUAGCGGUGAAAUGCGUAGAUAUAUGGAGGAACACCAGUGGCGAAGGCGACUCUCUGGUCUGCAACUGACGCUGAGGCUCGAAAGCGUGGGUAGCAAACAGGAUUAGAUACCCCAGUAGUC
rnacentral:rRNA from 1 species